AGCAGCCGCGGUAAUUCCAGCUCCAAUAGCGUAUAUUAAAGUUGUUGCAGUUAAAAAGCUCGUAGUUGAAUUUCGGGAUCAAUAUGUCGGUCGUGCCUUGGUACGUACUGGCAUUAUUGGUUUUUACCUUCUGAAGAACCUCGAUGUCAUUAAUUUGGUGUCUUGGGGAAUCAGGACUGUUACUUUGAAAAAAUUAGAGUGUUUAAAGCAGGCUCGCGCUUGAAUACAUUAGCAUGGAAUAAUGAAAUAGGACGUUUGAUUCUAUUUUGUUGGUUUCUAGGAUUGACGUAAUGAUUAAUAGGGAUAGUUGGGGGCAUUAGUAUUCAAUUGUCAGAGGUGAAAAUUCUUGGAUUUUAUUGAAGACUAACUACUGCGAAAAGCAUUUGCCAAGGAUGUUUUCAUUAAUCAAGAACGAAAGUUAGGGGAUCGAAGACGAUCAGAUACCGUCGUAGUCUUAACCAUAAACUAUGCCGACUAGGGAUCGGAUGAUGUUAAUUUUUAAUGUACUCAUUCGGCGCCU
rnacentral:rRNA from 1 species